AAUAUUAGAUUUUGAAUACACGAGAUUCCGAUUCCGAUUCCGAACUCUUAAAUCUCCUGAGGCCAACAACUGAAAGAUGGGUAACCAGUAUUGUAGGCUGAUUUAAUGGCUGAACUAGACAGGCAGGUUAAGUCUUUGGAAGAUGACGACUGGAUAUUCGAAUGUCCUCGUUCACGUAUCAAUCUUAUAUCCAGAAGAGGUGGGUAUCUGCAGAAACAAGCUGAGGCUGCAAAGAACACAGGAUUGGCUCAGCUGCCUAAAUGAGAAUCUGAAGGUAUUUUACAACCAAUUUGCCCACAGAACUUUCCAGAUUCAGUUCUUUC